rnacentral:RNase_P_RNA from 1 species
UCAGGUACGAAAAAGCAUAGCUGAAUUGGACGCAAGUUUUCUUGUAUGAACACGAUUCAGAGGAAAGUCCGGACUGCAAAAGGGACAGCAUAGUGGUUAACAACCACGUGGGGCAACCCAACGAUUAGAGCAGCAGAGACGAGCGUAUUAAAUUACGGUGAAACGGGCAAUCUCUAUGCGCAGCAACUCCAAAAAGGAUUCCAAGACAGUCCCUGUCGUUAUAAGGAAUCGGGUAGGGGGCUUGACGAAUUAUGGCAACAUAGUUCGCAGAUUAAUUAUGCUUACGAUUUCAGCAAUGAAAUUGGACAGAAUCCGGCUUAAUGAAUACCUGAAACA